rnacentral:rRNA from 1 species
GACGAACGCUGGCGGCGUGCUUAACACAUGCAAGUCGAACGGAAAGGCCCUGCUUUUGUGGGGUGCUCGAGUGGCGAACGGGUGAGUAACACGUGAGUAACCUGCCCUUGACUUUGGGAUAACUUCAGGAAACUGGGGCUAAUACCGGAUAGGAGCUCCUGCUGCAUGGUGGGGGUUGGAAAGUUUCGGCGGUUGGGGAUGGACUCGCGGCUUAUCAGCUUGUUGGUGGGGUAGUGGCUUACCAAGGCUUUGACGGGUAGCCGGCCUGAGAGAGUGACCGGCCACAUUGGGACUGAGAUACGGCCCAGACUCCUACGGGAGGCAGCAGUGGGGAAUAUUGCACAAUGGGCGGAAGCCUGAUGCAGCAACGCCGCGUGCGGGAUGACGGCCUUCGGGUUGUAAACCGCUUUCGCCUGUGACGAAGCGUGAGUGACGGUAAUGGGUAAAGAAGCACCGGCUAACUACGUGCCAGCAGCCGCGGUGAUACGUAGGGUGCGAGCGUUGUCCGGAUUUAUUGGGCGUAAAGGGCUCGUAGGUGGUUGAUCGCGUCGGAAGUGUAAUCUUGGGGCUUAACCCUGAGCGUGCUUUCGAUACGGGUUGACUUGAGGAAGGUAGGGGAGAAUGGAAUUCCUGGUGGAGCGGUGGAAUGCGCAGAUAUCAGGAGGAACACCAGUGGCGAAGGCGGUUCUCUGGGCCUUUCCUGACGCUGAGGAGCGAAAGCGUGGGGAGCGAACAGGCUUAGAUACCCUGGUAGUCCACGCUGUAAACGGUGGGUACUAGGUGUGGGGUCCAUUCCACGGGUUCCGUGCCGUAGCUAACGCUUUAAGUACCCCGCCUGGGGAGUACGGCCGCAAGGCUAAAACUCAAAGGAAUUGACGGGGCCCCGCACAAGCGGCGGAGCAUGCGGAUUAAUUCGAUGCAACGCGUAGAACCUUACCUGGGUUUGACAUGGAUCGGGAGUGCUCAGAGAUGGGUGUGCCUCUUUUGGGGUCGGUUCACAGGUGGUGCAUGGCUGUCGUCAGCUCGUGUCGUGAGAUGUUGGGUUAAGUCCCGCAACGAGCGCAACCCUUGUUCACUGUUGCCAGCACGUUAUGGUGGGGACUCAGUGGAGACCGCCGGGGUCAACUCGGAGGAAGGUGGGGAUGACGUCAAGUCAUCAUGCCCCUUAUGUCCAGGGCUUCACGCAUGCUACAAUGGCUGGUACAGAGAGUGGCGAGCCUGUGAGGGUGAGCGAGUCUCGGAAAGCCGGUCUCAGUUCGGAUUGGGGUCUGCAACUCGACCUCAUGAAGUCGGAGUCGCUAGUAAUCGCAGAUCAGCAACGCUGCGGUGAAUACGUUCCCGGGGCU